rnacentral:misc_RNA from 1 species
CAAUGCAGUCUCAACACUUACAAGGGAGACAAUCAAAUCCCUUUAGUUUUAAUGUCAGACAGAGGGCUCAACAUCAGUCUAAUGGCGAAUGAUGCGGGAAAUGUGCAAUUAUUGAUGGAGAUAUUUUUAGCCGAUUAUCUUUGCACUGUUUCAUCAGCUUAGUGUACCUUGUUCAUGUUGAGCACAUUGCUAUAAGUUGAUCCUUGUUGAGUUAAGUUUGCACUGGAUAUUUAUUUAUGCUAGUAGUAUAAAAAAGAGCUGACAUGUUAUGAAUUUGAGUUUUUUCCUUCCCUUUUUCAUGCAAUGUUAUUCACUGCAAAGCUAAUGAAAUCUUACAUGACAGAAUUACAAGGAAAUAUAUGAUGUUCAUAAAAAACAGAUGUCCAGAAAUAUUGUUUAAAACAUUUAAUAUUUAUAUAUAUGUAUACAUGUAUAAAAAUGAUUUUAAAUGAAUUGUAAAUGCUGAAUGUUGAAUAAAUUAUUGAUGUG